AUUGAACGCUAGCGGCAGGCUUAACACAUGCAAGUCGAGCGGAGAUGAGGUGCUUGCACCUUAUCUUAGCGGCGGACGGGUGAGUAAUGCUUAGGAAUCUGCCUAUUAGUGGGGGACAACAUUCCGAAAGGAAUGCUAAUACCGCAUACGCCCUACGGGGGAAAGCAGGGGCUCUUCGGACCUUGCGCUAAUAGAUGAGCCUAAGUCGGAUUAGCUAGUUGGUGGGGUAAAGGCCUACAAAGGCGACGAUCUGUAGCGGGUCUGAGAGGAUGAUCCGCCACACUGGGACUGAGACACGGCCCAGACUCCUACGGGAGGCAGCAGUGGGGAAUAUUGGACAAUGGGCGGAAGCCUGAUCCAGCCAUGCCGCGUGUGUGAAGAAGGCCUUUUGGUUGUAAAGCACUUUAAGCGAGGAGGAGGCUACCUGGAUUAAUACUCUAGGAUAGUGGACGUUACUCGCAGAAUAAGCACCGGCUAACUCUGUGCCAGCCGCCGCCGUAAAAC
rnacentral:rRNA from 1 species